rnacentral:rRNA from 1 species
UUGGAGGGCAAGUCUGGUGCCAGCAGCCGCGGUAAUUCCAGCUCCAAUAGCGUAUAUUAAAGUUGUUGCAGUUAAAAAGCUCGUAGUUGAAUUUCGGGGUCAGUAGUUUGGUCAUGCCACUGGUAUGUACUGGUCUCACUGAUUCCUCCUUCCUGAUGAGCCGUAAUGCCAUUAAUUUGGUGUUGCGAGGAAUCUGGACUGUUACUUUGAAAAAAUUAGAGUGUUUAAAGCAAGCUAACGCUUGAAUACAUUAGCAUGGAAUAAUGAAAUAGGACGUUCGAUCCUAUUUUGUUGGUUUCUAGGAUUGACGUAAUGAUUAAUAGGGAUAGUUGGGGGCAUUAGUAUUCAAUUGUCAGAGGUGAAAUUCUUGGAUUUAUUGAAGACUAACUACUGCGAAAGCAUUUGCCAAGGGUGUUUUCAUUAAUCAAGAACGAAAGUUAGGGGAUCGAAGACGAUCAGAUACCGUCGUAGUCUUAACCAUAAACCAUGCCGACUAGGGAUCGGAUGAUGUUAAUUUUUUAAUGACUCAUUCGGCGCCUUACGGGAAACCAAAGUGUUUGGGUUC